rnacentral:ncRNA from 1 species
UUGCCUACCUCGGGGUGCCCUUUGGGCUGAGAUGCAAUCCUGCGAACCCGUUGAACCUGAACCGGUUAAUUCCGGCGGAGGGAAGGUGACGCGGCGCAGA